GCCCGCCUAGCUCAAUCGGAUAGAGCGUCAGACUCUUACUAGAGGCGGGUUAUAUGUUACCAAGCUUACCCUGGUAUCUGAAGGCUGCGAGUUCGACCCUCGCGGUGGGCU